GAUGAACGCUAGCGGCAGGCUUAACACAUGCAAGUCGAGGGGCAGCACGGGUAGCAAUACCUGGUGGCGACCGGCGCAAGGGUGCGUAACGCGUGAGCAACACGCCCUAUACAGGGGGAUAAUCCAGGGAAACUUGGUCUAAUAUCCCAUAGUAUUUAGAGGAGGCAUCUUCUAUAAAUUAAAGCUUCGGUGGUAUAGGAUUGGCUCGCGUGACAUUAGCUAGAUGGUGAGGUAACGGCUCACCAUGGCAAUGAUGUCUAGGGGUUCUGAGAGGAAGGCCCCCCACACUGGGACUGAGACACGGCCCAGACUCCUACGGGAGGCAGCAGUGAGGAAUAUUGGACAAUGGAUGGAAAUCUGAUCCAGCCAUGCCGCGUGCAGGAAGACAGCCCUAUGGGUUGUAAACUGCUUUUAUAUGGGAGCAAUAAGGUCUACGUGUAGACUGAUGAGAGUACCAUAUGAAUAAGCAUCGG
rnacentral:rRNA from 1 species